rnacentral:rRNA from 1 species
GACGAACGCUGGCGGCGUGCUUAACACAUACAAGUCGAACGGGAUUUAGUAGACAGAAGCCUCGGCUAAAGAUUACUAAUGAGAGUGGCGAACGGGUGAGUAACGCGUGAGCAACCUGCCUAUGACAGUGGGAUAGCCUCGGGAAACCGGGAUUAAUACCGCAUAAAAUCGUAGAAACACAUGUUUUAACGGUCAAAGAUUUAUCGGUCAUAGAUGGGCUCGCGUCUGAUUAGCUAGUUGGUGAGAUAACAGCCCACCAAGGCGACGAUCAGUAGCCGGUCUGAGAGGAUGAACGGCCACAUUGGAACUGAGACACGGUCCAAACUCCUACGGGAGGCAGCAGUGGGGAAUAUUGCACAAUGGGGGAAACCCUGAUGCAGCGACGCCGCGUGAACGAAGAAGGUAUUCGUAUCGUAAAGUUCUGUCCUAUGGGAAGAUAAUGACAGUACCAUAGAAGAAAGCUCCGGCUAAAUACGUG